rnacentral:rRNA from 1 species
UACGUAGGUGGCAAGCGUUGUCCGGAUUUACUGGGUGUAAAGGGGGCGCAGGCGGGAAGCUAAGUUGGAUGUGAAAUACCGGGGCUCAACUCCGGAGCUGCAUCCAAAACUGGUUUUCUUGAGUGGAGUAGAGGCAAGCGGAAUUCCGAGUGUAGCGGUGAAAUGCGUAGAUAUUCGGAGGAACACCAGUGGCGAAGGCGGCUUGCUGGGCUUCAACUGACGCUUAAGCGCGAAAGCUAGGGUAGCGAACGGGAUUAGAUACCCCUGUAGUCCCUGA